GCGCCCGUAGCUCAACCUGGACAGAGCAACAGACUACGGAUCUGUGGGUUGGGGGUUCAAAUCCCUCCGGGCGCGCCA
rnacentral:tRNA from 1 species